AUGGAUGUUCAUAAGAGCACUGUGCAGAAAGCUGCUCUUGUUGAAGAAACUCGAAGACCGCCGCUUGUUCCAUCUGAGAAGCAUAAUGCUUCUUCUUUAAGCCGAGUGAGAGAUGUUGCAUCCAGGUACAAGACUGGUCAGGGUGCUACUGCGACAAGGCGAUGUACAUCUCCUAGUCUUGGCCGGACCUCAACAACUAAUGGUACACCAGUGCCCAAUAGGGCGCAAUCUGCAGACAGAAGAAGACCCUCAACACCUUCAACCCCUUCUUCUAAGGUGUCAACACCCUCCACCCCAAGAUCAAGGUCCAUAACACCAGUCCGUGAUACUGUCAAAGAGGUAAAUAAGAGUUCUAGGUGUAUAGCAAAUGAAAGGUCCCCACAUGGCUUGUGGCCAGCAAUGCGGAACCUGUCUCCCUCCUAUCAAUUGGAGUCUGCGGCUGCCCCUGGUAAUAAAAAAGAUAAGGUGGUCUCUAGCCCAUCUCUAGAUCAUAUCAAGGGACAAGCGAGUGUUCUGACUGAGAGGAAGAGGAGUCCUCUGAGAAGGAAGAAAAUUACUGAACAAUGUGAGAAUUCUCGACCUUCAGAAGAUCUACCUAGGAGGGCAACUGAGCAAAACCGUUGGCCAGCCAUGACAAGUGGGCGUGGGCCUGCCAAUCUUAUGCCGAAUACUGAACUUUCUGACAAAUCUAGCAAACCAGUGACUUUGUCAAACACUUCUAGAGGGCUUUCACCGAGGAAGAUUUCUGCUUCUGAAGACGCAGGUAAAAGGUUGAAUCAAUCACUGGAUGAUGUGGCAAGGAGACUAGCUAUUCAUGCAAAAAGAAGAGAUGAACAGUUAGAUUCUGGCAGUGAUGUUUAUUCACAGACAACGGAAAGAUCUAAAUAUGUGAGCCGUCCAAGCAGGACAACCACUUUGCCUGUUCCUGUUCUUCAUCGCUCAUCAUCACCAAACAAGGUCUUGUCAGCUGCAUCCUCUGCUUCUAGGGCUUUUCAGAGUCCAUCGAGGACAAGACCUUCAACACCUUGCCGGUCACAAAGUGCUGGAAGUAUUCAAUCAGGUGUUAUAGCUCCUGUUGUUAGCUACAUGGUUGAUCCAAGAAAGGGAAAGAAAAAUGCCAGCCAAAUUGAAAAUAUCCAUCAGCUGCGUUUGCUGCAUAAUAGAUACUUGCAAUUGCGUCUUGUAAAUGCUCGUUCGGAAGAUGUUCUAUCUUACCAAAAGGCCACUGCUGAGAAUACCAUAUAUAAUGUUUGGAGGAAUACUUCAAACUUGAGGGAUGCUGUUAAUUUGCGAAGAAUCAUGGUGCAGCGUCAUCGACAAGAGUUGAAGCUGUAUGGCAUUCUGCAAGAGCAGAUUGCUUGCCUCGAACAAUGGCCAGCACUUGAAGACGAGAAUAACCUUUCCUUUUCUCGGGCAACAGAGGCUCUAAAAGCAAGUACACUGCGCCUUCCAGUCACGUCAGGAGCAAGGGUGGAUGCAGUUAGUCUUAAGAAUGCUGUAAGCUCAGCUGUUGAUGUCAUGCAAGGUUUGGGAUCGUCAGUUUGUUCUAUGCUUUCCAAGGUCGAAGACAGGACAUAUUUGAUCUCGGAGCUUUCAGUCGUAGCAGCACAAGAAAAGGUCAUGCUUGACGAAUGCAGAGAACUCUUAGCUAUGGCCGCAGAACUGGAGUGCUAUUGUAUCUUUAAUCAGGUACAGGAGUCUAGCCUGCGGACACAUCUUAUGCAAGUAAAGGACUUGCCCAGAUGA
rnacentral:rRNA from 1 species